rnacentral:lncRNA from 1 species
UGAGACUUCGGUUAAUUUAUCUCGAGUUCGAAUUUUCUAGAUUUUUUUUUUAGAAAUUUAGAAAGAAAUUAACAUGGAUAAUUAUUCUAGGGAAUUUUUCUCCCCUAACUUAAAAUAUAUACUAUCGAUAGUCGAGACUUUGGUUAAUUUAUCUCGAGUUCGAAAUUUCUAGAUUUUUUUUUUAGAAAUUUAGGGAGAAAUUAAUAUUCUAGAGAAUUUUUCUCUCCUCCAUAGUCGAAACUUUGGUUAAUUCAUCGACAAAAUUGGAAAUUAACUGAAAAAGAAUAAAUGGGUUAAAAUUCACUUUAAAUAAUUACUUAUUAAAAUGCUCGAGUAACAUUUACAUUCGUAGUUAUUGUAAUCGAUCGUAGCUUUUCGUGUAACCUCGACUAAGUUCGCCACUACAGUUAUUCCCGAUUAUCAUUAUCUUUUGAACAAAUAAAUUAUCGAACUAACCAUCAAAUCUUUAAUAACUUUUCCAUUUUUCGAAAGAAAUUUGAUUCUUGAAAAGUGAAAAUUUCUCUCUCGACUGUUAAUUAAAAAUUAUCAUCAAAAAUCACAGAGAAAUGAUACAGUUUAAUUAUUAUUAUAAUCAAUCGUAGCUUUUCGUAUAACCUCGCCAUUACAAUUAUUCCCGAUUAUCAUUUAACAAAUAAAUUAUCGAACUAAUCAAAUCUUCAGUAACUUUUCCAUUUCUCGAAAGAAAUUUGAAUAGAUUUAUUGAAAAAAGUGAAAAGUGAAAAUUUCCCUCUCGACUUUAAUUAAAAAAAAAUUAUCAUAAAAAUUAUCGCGAAGAAUCGAUCGGACACGAUUUAUCGCGUCGUUAUCGAAACCGAAGGAGGGCGGUCCGAAGGACGAAACAAACGGGUUCACGAAACGAUCGGGACACGCGCCACGAAAUUCGAGCGGGUCGAGAGCCGCAAAUUGCGCCAGCAGCAGUUUCGUCCCCGGUAUCCCGAUACACCGGUCGAGUCGCGUGCGCGCUCUCCUCUCAUUGCACACCGUGCACUUGCCGCACCGUUCACGCAACGACCUGGCCUCCGGUUAUCCGUGUGCCUUCCUUUCUGCCGUCCACGCUAACAGGCGUUCCAGUCUGCCCGCAAUUGCAUUAUACGCGCGCGUUAUGCAACGCGGAGAGGGCUCACGCCCCCUCUCUCCCUCUCUCUCAACCCCUGACUGCAAGCCUUUUCAGCAGCUCUUCGAGCAUGCACGUUGCGUUUUCAAGCCGAUAGAGCCUUGCACAGGUUACGAUACAUUCGGACGUACAUUUCGCUUUUGUAAUUUCGAACAAACCAGUUUAGGAUGUGAAAAGUGAACGCGGACUGUGAUAGUUUAUAGACGCGGAUAGUUUAUUUUCUUUUUCUUAAAUAAUAAAUUUUUUUCAACAUCAUUUUAUUCGUACGCUUUGCAAUAAUACAGUUACGAAGUUUUCGUAUUAUUGAAACGAUUUUACAGAGUCUGAAAUUUUGAUACACUUUGUAGCAAAAUUAUUUGAGAAAAGGUUAUAGAAUUUGUUAAAAGAACUUUUAACACGUAUCGAGGUAAAAUUAUCGUCGAUAUCUAGAGAAUUUGAAAUUGGAAUUGGUAAGAAAAUAAAGAUAAGAUGCAAUCAGAAAAAAUGAUUAUUCAAUAUCUCGGCGAGAGAAACAGAAAGAUGUUUAAAAUUAAAUCGAUAAGCGACUUGUGAUGUAAAACUUUGAAAACUUUGUCUGUAAACUUAUAAUACGUAGCUCGCAAAACGUUCGUAAACUUUCAACCGCGAUCGCGAUUGUUUCGAGCGCGCAAACUACUAAAAAACGUUCCUAGAGCUAAUGACACUCCAAACGGUCGAAACGGUCGCGUCGUCUCGAGCGCAAAAAAAGAAAACAAAACAAAGAAGCAAGUCGAACGAAACGAGUAGAGGGCGAAUCGAAGGAGAAACCUCACGUUUCGAAACUCGAGACGAAAAAUAUAACAGACAGGGACUGAAGUUCUGAGUUGGUGAUCGUUAAAUCACUAGAUCCCCUAUACAACAGCUUAAAACCGAGUUUACUGUUCCAUUUAACCAAACGUGGAACAGCCAAGCGUGGAUUAUUAAUGCGGCUUUCGCGUGAGAUAAGCAAACCUAACCUUUACACUCGUGACUCGACUGGCUCGCGCUGGCGAGCAUCUAGUCCGCCACUGUUUUCAAUAUUGAUUUAUUCCAACCGGCGACGAACGUUCGAUACGAACUUGAACACAGAUUUCUACGGAUCAAGGAUGCUCCUUCGAUUCUUAUUCCAAACAAAGACGUACUAUUCCAUCAUUAGAGGUGUACGAUAUUUCAAAAUCGUCGUAUCGCUCGUUCGAUUCUCAUUCGAAUUCCAAAGAAGAACGUAUUCGAUAUAACGUGUCAAAAUCGUUGCCAAGUAGAAUAGGACGUUGGCGAACAGACGAUUCGGUUUAACUGGAAUUGAAAGAUGAUAGAAUUUCCGUUGCAAAUAUAUAUAUUUAGAGAGAGAGAGGAAAGAAAAAUUAUUAAAAAUUCGACGAAAUUUUUCAAACGACUUUCGAAAUUCUUCAACGAUAUAUAUAUAUAUAUAUAUACGCAGAUCGACGAUUAUGAUUUAUCGAGGCAAAAUUUAACGCGUAACAGGUGUUUUCGAAAGUGGUUUGAAGAAAGUGGCGAUGUGCCGCGCGUUUUAUAGCGAUAUCUCGAUGAACGGAACCACUCCCAUAGCUAUUACGGAUUCACCAAACGUCCCGGGGACAAAAAUGCAUCCUCAGCUAUUGUCCUCCUCCUCGGUUCGUCUUUUUCUUCGCGCUAGCGAUGCACAUUCCGGCUUCUUCGGCGAACCGCCAUUUUCCUUGACCAAAAAGUCACACUUCUCACCCACCUGUUCUACUUAACUCGAGCGAAUAAAUAGUUCGAGUUCGAUACUUUGAUUAUCUAUAUUUUUUUUUCCAAUUAAUCUAAUCUAAAGUAUCCGUUAAGUGAAUUAUUUCGCUUGACAAUAUUUUAAAAAAGUAAAAUUGCAAAAUCACGAUACGUGAUUUGCAAUUAUCUUCUAACAAGUUACAACUUGUCACUUCAUCAAUUAUUUUUUUUUUUUAAAUGUUAAAAAAAAAAAGGAAGGAAAGUAAGUCGAGAGAAAAUGCUUAAAGGAUAGCAUUUUCUAAAAUUGUCGAGGCUUUGAAUUCUGUGUGCUUUCCUUGAAACUGUCCCUGCGAAAAGCACUUGAACCCCGGUUGCUGAAAGCGUGCUCAUUCCCCCAUUCAUUCCCCACCUUGCUCAUCAUUUGCGAGUUCUUUCAUCUUACAUGCAUCCACGUAUCGUUCCCUUUCUCGCUUCCAACGCUCCCCGCCACCAACUUACAUCGACACUUUUGCAAUUUCGUAUUAUCUCGUUGCUUGCUUCGUUUCAAUCUUAUUCGAAUAAUAAUUUUUUUUUAAUCGAUAAUCGAUUGCUUUUUCAUCACAGAGUAUAAAAAGUAUAUUUCGAUCGCUUCGUAUUAAGGAAACAACGAUUGAUUAUAUUGGGAAGAAAAGAAUCAUGGAAAGGAAGCGUUAAAGGUUGAGAACCGCUGAGGGAAAGACUACACGAGUCUAUCGUCCUCAAGAACUCUCGGUAUGAGCGAGCAAUGUUUUCAGCUCGGUCACUAGUGCCAAGGGAAAGCGCCCACAAUGCAAUCGAGGAACGUACCACCUCCGACAAAAACAUGAGCUCGUGUCUACACUCGAGUAGAGAGGUACUCGAACUAUCCGCGGGGAUUACGAAUCCGAACAAACUCGACUUUCGAACCGUUUACGUCAUCGAGAAAAAGGAUCUAAUUUAACCAGUUAACCAAAUAGUCUCUCAUUUCCUCCAUUUAUCAAACGCACAUUUCCAAUCCUAAUUCCUCGUAAUAACUUUAACGAACAAAUUUUUCCAACUUAGCUAAAUCAUGCUAAAAAAAAAAAGAAUCAAGCACAACGAUUCCUUCGAAUAAUCUCUGUCCACAAAUUUACUAAAAUAAGACUUAAAAAUAUCUCGUCUAACGAACAAACUCAUCGUUGAAUCGAACAUUUCCUACGAGACGUUCGUAUAGUUAUACGAGUCGUACAAAUUUUGUCCCAUCCCCGUGCGAAACGAGAUACGUAAAAAAGAACGUAAUCGGUCAAUUCGAAGCCAUCGCUGGUCGAGUUUGGCCUAUACCGCGCACUCGGUCACUCGCACUGUCCACACGCACACAACGAGCGAGUGCCGCGCGCAUGCACGCACACACACGAGUCCUCCGGCCGUAUACGCGCGCGAUACACCCAUACGCGUACGAAGGUUGGGGGCGAGGGAGGGGGAGGAGGUCGGCCGGCUUGGUUGUAUAUGUGGGCUAAAAAUGAUACGCUGGCUAAGGUGACGUCAUGCGAAGUUAGCCCCGUCUGCCGACGAUUGCACUGGCUUGCAGUUUCGCAGUUGUUACGCUGUGGCAACGAUGUGGCUGGGGCGCUGUAUGGCUGGCUGGCUGGCUGGCUGGUUGGCGUCAAAGUCACCGCGCGUACUAUCGUCGUUUUCGCGCUUCUUUAUGCGAGCCGCGCGCCAUCGGAUCCGGUUCUUUGGCUAUGCUCCCGGGGAUCGAUCACCGAGUGCGAGAGAGAGAGAGAGGGAGAGAGAGAGAGGGACGGGUUCAGAGAGAGGCAUGUUCGGUGGAAUCGAUCAGGAUAUAUAGGUUCUCCGGUGAUGAGGAUUCGACUGGACGUCUCGAGCAAGGUCGAAUUCUUUAGCGUCGAUUUAUGAGCCGCUUUUUUCUUCUUCCUUUUUUGCACUUGUGCACGUUGGUUACCGGUGAGCAGGAAAAUCGCGAGCGUAUUUUUCGAAGUAGUUUCUCUUUUCAGAAUUGUAAUAUUUUUUUUUUUUUACGGAGCAAAGCGUGUAUGUAUUUAGAGGUUAGGUUGAAUUAUAAGAUUCGAAAAAAAGAAAAAGGAGAAUUCUUCGUCGAACGAAACAUGUUUCGUAAAUGAUGAAACAUAUCGAUUCGUUUUACUUUUAUCAUAAUAUUUUUCUUCAUAUAAACGGACAAAUCUAUUCGUCUCAACGUUUUCAUCGUUAUUUUUCUCGUUUCGUAAAAAUCAUAUAUUGUAAUGAAUAAUACGAGAUCGAUUACAUUGAUAGUUGAUAGUCUAGUCUUAAAAAUCUAAUCUGAAACCGGUCAGAGAUAAAUAUCUGCGCGUAAAAUGAAAAAUCAGUAUCGUUUCUUGCACCCGUAUUCGUUUGUUGCACGCGUGAACAACACGUAGCGGAAAGAUAAUUUUCAAAGUGUGUUCUCGUGAAGAUGUUCUCGCGCGCGCUAUUAUCGAUCGAGCCGGCUUAAAAAUGAUCCGAGAUAUGUAGUUAUGCAGCUGGUUGAAAGGGGUACAUUAUUCAUUUGAUCUCUCCAGUAGCCUUGACGCGUCUCGUAGUCAGCUGAUGCGGUGGCAUCAACAGAUAUUCAGCGGUGCCACUGGGACAGAGUUUAUAUUCCUCCAACCGGAUCCAUCGAUACGGAUACGUGUCGAAUGGGGGGAGGGAGGGGAGGGGGGAGGAAAACGUUUCGAGAAUACUCUCCUAACCUGAAAAAUGAUAUCUCUCCCUUGAAAAUUUGCCAAUCGAUUUUUUUUUUAAUUUUUAAUUCGCCUCGAUUCAUUGGUUUUACCGGCCGCCAAUGAACGCGUCUAUCAAUCAGAAAUGACACCUCCAGUGAUGACUACCUUCUUCUCGUUGGCUAAACACUAAUUGACCUUAAUCAUCGACGGAGUUAACGUAACAUCAAUUGAACACCAUAGAUCAUCGACGAAUUUGAAAAAAAAAAAAAUGGAAGGGGAGAAAAUUUUUACACAUAUAACAAAAGACAAACAUCGUCCUAUUUUCAAAGAGCGAAGGAGAAGGGAGAAGAUUCUUUCCCUAAUUGCAAUGGAUACCAACUUUUGAGCACCGCCAACAAUAGAGACAAAAGAGGCGGAAUCGGAGAGCAACGUCUGUCCAGAAUAAUUUCAAGAAGAAAGAAAAAAAGAAAAAAGGGUAAGUAGAGAAACGAGUAAAUAGAGAUCGAAACGUUAAAGUUUUGUUCUUGGAGCGAGGAAAGCUUACGUAACUGUGCACAAGUGCAGCGCCGCCAUAAGUACACACAGAACGCCGCGAAGGAAGGAAGAAAACUCGUGGUCGCCCAUGGUAUAUAAAACACGUUGUGUUUAUCGCUCGUUGCCCAUUCUCCCGAUGCGACACGACACUGUGGAGGCCGUGGAUGCGCACCCGUGAUAAUGCACGCGUGUUAUCAGCACGCCUUCCUCCAGUGCCGCCUUAUCGGUCGCUAUCGAUACAACGAUCGGAUAAAACCACCGGCUCCGCGAAACACUUCAACCUCCAUUCCAAGGAAAUAUACUUGGUUGGAAAAGAAAAAGAAAAAAAAGGAGAGAUUCGAGAUUGAUUGCUCAAGAGUUACGGAGUUAUGAGAGUUAUAAGGUGUAAUCUUUUCUUCGAAUUUUUUUUAUUCUAUUUUUUUUCUCGUAGCGAACGCGAUCAAUAACGCGCGAGUUUGUAAACAUUUUUUUAGACUGAUGUAAUCGUGCAAUGAUGAUUAGAGUUGCGUGGUGUGAUCGAUGGAAGCACGA